rnacentral:rRNA from 1 species
AGCGGCGGACGGGUGAGUGGGUCCUGUAACCUGCCCUGUACACACGGAUAACAUACCGAAAGGUAUGCUAAUACGAGAUAAUAUGCUUUUAUCGCAUGGUAGAAGUAUCAAAGCUUUUGCGGUACAGGAUGGACCCGCGUCUGAUUAGCUAGUUGGUAAGGUAACGGCUUACCAAGGCGACGAUCAGUAGCCGACCUGAGAGGGUGAUCGGCCACAUUGGAACUGAGACACGGUCCAAACUCCUACGGGAGGCAGCAGUGGGGAAUAUUGCACAAUGGGCGAAAGCCUGAUGCAGCAACGCCGCGUGAGCGAUGAAGGCCUUCGGGUCGUAAAGCUCUGUCCUCAAGGAAGAUAAUGACGGUACUUGAGGAGGAAGCCCCGGCUAACUACGUGCCAGCAGCCGCGGUAAUACGUAGGGGGCUAGCGUUAUCCGGAAUUACUGGGCGUAAAGAGUGCGUAGGUGGUUUCUUAAGUCAGAGGUGAAAGGCUAAGGCUCAACCGUAGUAAGCCUUUGAAACUGGGAAACUUGAGUGCAGGAGAGGAGAGUGGAAUUCCUAGUGUAGCGGUGAAAUGCGUAGAUAUUAGGAGGAACACCAGUUGCGAAGGCGGCUCUCUGGACUGUAACUGACACUGAGGCACGAAAGCGUGGGGAGCAAACAGGAUUAGAUACCCUGGUAGUCCACGCCGUAAACGAUGAGUACUAGCUGU